rnacentral:rRNA from 1 species
GAUGAACGCUGGCGGCGUGCUUAACACAUGCAAGUCGAACGAUGAAGCCCAGCUUUCUGGGUGGAUUAGUGGCGAACGGGUGAGUAACACGUGAGUAACCUGCCCUUAACUCUGGGAUAAGCCUUGGAAACUGGGUCUAAUACCGGAUAGGAGCGUCCACCGCAUGGUGGGUGUUGGAAAGAUUUAUCGGUUUUGGAUGGACUCGCGGCCUAUCAGCUUGUUGGUGGGGUAAUGGCUCACCAAGGCGACGACGGGUAGCCGGCCUGAGAGGGUGACCGGCCACACUGGGACUGAGACACGGCCCAGACUCCUACGGGAGGCAGCAGUGGGGAAUAUUGCACAAUGGGCGCAAGCCUGAUGCAGCGACGCCGCGUGAGGGAUGACGGCCUUCGGGUUGUAAACCUCUUUCAGUAGGGAAGAAGCGAAAGUGACGGUACCUGCAGAAGAAGCACCGGCUAACUACGUG